UACUUUAUGAUACUUUUCACAUGACAAUAAUAAUUCCUCCUUCAAAUGAACCUUUUUUAUUUUCUUAUUUUAUGGUUUCUAUUUCUUUGUGUCGCAGGUAAAGAUGGAGGACGAGUCUACUGUGAGACAAACAAAGCUUUCCUGUAAACGACAGCUUCAUGAAGCAGGAAAGGUGUGUGUGUGUGUGUGUGUGUGUGUGUGUGUUACAUUUAGACAAUAAUCUGCUUCUAUGUGAACAUGGCCCCCCAUGAAAUGUCAUGCCAGUCUGUUUAACCUCUCACAGGCUCCUGAGGGAACCCCAACCUUCCAGUUUUACACCAGUUUUCACUUGGAGCUCAGACAGAGAGCUCUGAGAAGGUUCCAGCAAGCUGCACGACAGGUGGUUCUACGGUGUCGCCUCUCACACACACUGAGUUCUCUACAGAAGCUGAGGAAUGAGGCUCCUACAGGGAAAGCUGAAGAAACCACACCAGUUUUUCCUUCUUCUUUCCCCUUUUUCACAAGUGAAGACCCCCUGAGUCCAGUCAGUUUGGUGGCUCUGCCUGUGGAUCCCAUCGACGUGAACGUAAACACAGAUGUUCCCUUCCUCCAGCUGCAGGUUUCUCCUCACUAUGAGCUCAUGGGCUACAAACCUGUGUCCAUCUGGGGGGCUUUCACCUCCUACAUCCCUCCACCUCUGAUCAUACCACUACACACUGACACACUGCACCAGGAACAGGAACAGGAAGGUGUCCCUGAAGCUCUGCUAGAACCAUUUCCAGCAAAUCCUCUCAGGGUUUUUAAUCCAGCUCCAGACCUUCAGACGCACACGUCGUCUCCCACGUUCCCGCAGAGCACCGUGGAGCUGCAGCUCUGCCCUCGGUCCAGGUACGACGUGAGUAAAGAACAGAACCUGAGUGGCACGGAACAGGAAGUGAUCCCUGUGAUGACCACAUGGAGGGAUGUGAACAGAGCUGCAGUACCACCCCCCACCACCAGGGGCUCGUCUUCAUACAGGAGCGUCAUCCAUACACUUCCUCCCUCAGCCCCGCCUCCUCUCACAGACCUCAGUGAUCAGCGUCUGACACCACUAAUGGACUCAAGGUGA
rnacentral:lncRNA from 1 species